rnacentral:tRNA from 1 species
AAAAAAUUAGGUUAAAAAGACCAAGAGCCUUCAAAGCCCUAAGUAAGUGUCCCUCACUUAACUUCUG